CAGAGGGUGCAAACGUUGUUCGGAAUUACUGGGCGUAAAGCGCGUGUAGGCGGCUAAGUGUGUCGGGCGUGAAAUCCCAUGGCUCAACCAUGGAAGUGCACCCGAAACUGCUUAGCUAGAGUCCUGGAGAGGAAGGUGGAAUGCUUGGUGUAGAGGUGAAAUUCGUAGAUAUCAAGCGGAACACCGGUGGCGAAGGCGGCCUUCUGGACAGUGACUGACGCUGAGACGCGAAAGCGUGGGGAGCAAACAGGAUUAGAUACCCUGGUAGUCCACGCCGUAAACGAUGAGUGCUAGGUGUCACGGGCUUUGACCCUCGUGGUGCCGAAGCUAACGCGUUAAGCACUCCGCCUGGGGAGUACGGCCGCAAGGCUA
rnacentral:rRNA from 1 species